rnacentral:rRNA from 1 species
UACAGAGGUCCCGAGCGUUGUUCGGAUUCAUUGGGCGUAAAGGGUGCGUAGGCGGCCGUGCAAGUCUGGCGUGAAAGCCCCGGGCUCAGCCCGGGAAGUGCGCUCGAAACUGCGCGGCUCGAGUGCCGGAGGGGAGAGUGGAAUUCCUGGUGUAGCGGUGAAAUGCGUAGAUAUCAGGAGGAAUACCGGUGGCGAAAGCGACUCUCUGGACGGCAACUGACGCUGAGGCACGAAAGCGUGGGGAGCAAACAGG